AAAAGGCAAAUCUCCAUUAGCAGUAUAGAGCUAUGACACAUCAUUUAACAGUUCUGAUUCCAUCCACUUGAGAACUCUUCUGUCAUUGUCACUAUCUUCCCAGGUAUGCCAAGUCACUUCAUCAGAUACGACAAACUUGCUUGAUGCACUGAAUCAAAGGCCUGAUGGAAGUCUAUAAAAAGUGCUGCUCAUGCCUUAUGAAAUGCAGCCAUCUUCUCAAAAAGCUGUCUCCAGAUGCUGCUGCUGAGACCAGGACUCGAUAGAUGACAGCGACCCACCGGACCACGAUCACCACUGGAACAGCUACUGCAGCGGAGAAUGGCGAUGAAUGACUAUGAAGAAUCAUGUAAGACGCCUAACUAACUUCCCACCCUAACCCCCUUGCGACGUCCUCUCUGGGGGUAAGAGUCCUAACCAUUCAAGGUAAAACCCCAUGGAUGGAUGGAUGCUUUCCUUAAAAUAAUAAACCCCAACAACAAACUAGAUCUUUUUCCAUUUGGAGAUGAGCUGUUUUCUAGGCGGAUAACUGGUGUCUGAUUGCUUCCCUUCUUUCCAAGAAAAGAGCAGAAGGGAGAAGGAACUUUCCUGCUCUUUCCCAGCCUAUAUAAUCCCUCCCGUUGCCUAGCAACAAGCCACUAGAUUUCCCGCCUUUUCUUUCCUGAAAGGAACAAGAAGGCUGUUCAACAAGGCGGACUAUUUGUUCUUUACAAACCAAAAUGGCAAACAAUAAACGGAACCAUAUAAACACCAUCACCAAGUGUCAGGUCAUAAUUUGAGUAAGGUGGCACUUCAAAUGGAAGAGGGACUGCGGGGAAUGGACAGUUGAGGAGCAUUUUGAAAUGAUCGUCUCAUUGAUGCAAUUGGUCCUUCAGAUUUGGGCUGAUGUUGCCAUCUCAGUUCCAUGCUGAAUAAGCUGGUGGCACUUUCCUUCACAAACACUGCAUAAUUGAGUAAAGGAUGUGUAGCUUGUGUCUGGCAGCAGUUUGUUUUAAACUGGCUGCCUUAAUCAGCCCAGGAUUCCUUCUCUCUCUCUCGGUUUUUUUUUUGUUUGUUUGUUUGUUUUUGUUUUUUUAAACACAAAACUUGAUGUUCUGAAAUUGAACCCAUUUAGCCUUUGCUUUUGCUCUUGACAAACGUGUCUCUGAAGACUCAGACUGUACCCUCACUUUUUUUCUCCGCUUCAACCAUUGUAUCUGUCUCUUCACUGAUCCAUGGGUGACCUUGGAAGGCAAAGGCCCCAGAGCUGAGCUGGCAGCAAUCAGCCCUGAUGACUUGAAACACCAUUUUUCAUCAGAUGACAGAGGGAGAGAGAUUUCAGUCUCUAAUGCUUUGAUCGCCCUAAGGAGUUCAGAACAGAAAGCCAUUUGAUAGCUUGGUUGUAAGAAGAGCUGAAUCAGACUAAUUUCAGCCCACUAACUUUUUUUUUUUUUCUUUUCAAAGUAGGAGACACAUUUUUUGUCUCUGCGAACCGAUACAUCAGUGACUGUUGAUCACCAAUGAUUGUUAACGAGGACAUGAUCAAUAACAGUCCUAGUGAAACCAUCUGGGCUGUACCUGCUCUGUUUGUGAAUCUUGGGUGAUGGAAGAGUGAAUCAGCAAUCACCAUGUUAUUGGCAGCUGCAAAUUCUAUCAGUUGCCCAUUUCUGUUCAUCUGCUGGAUACCAAACUUCCUGAGAGUACUUGUGCAGGUCACUAUCCUUUCCUACUUGUGUAUUAAAGUUGCCCAGGAUCAUGAUGACCUCUCUUCUCAGAGUUUCAUUAUGGAUUGAUUGCAGUUGUUGGUAAAUAUCUUCAGCUACGUUAUAGGCCUUGGUUGGACCACACAUGGCAACGAUGGUAAGAUGUCCGCAGCCAUUAUGGAAUUGGCUGCUGAAAAGUCACUUCUUAAUCAACUGCCAUCCCUGCAGUGCCUGUUGGGCAAUGGGUGAAAGUACAAUGGCCAUUCCUUGCUGGAAAACCUGUCGGGAUGGCCUGAGAACAAAAAAGGAUAAUCCUCAACUUUCUUUUCACCACUUCUGGCCAGUGUAGUUUAGAUAAAAUACAGAUAUCAAUGUUCAGACUUUUCAAUUGCUUGAUUUAACUGUUUCAGAAUGUGUUUUGAUGUUCCAGGCACCAAUUUUACAUUUACCACCAACAUGCAGAAUACUGGAAUAGCCCUUUUGCAAGGUUUCUUUGGUAAUUUUUUGCAUAAAUGGCAGGUUGAUUCAGGACAAUUGACCAGAUUGUUGCAGGUGGUUGGCAGGUAUUAAACACUCUCAACAAACCGGGGUCUCUCGUACUCAAAUUUUGUUUAAUUUACCUUUCAUUUGGUUUUAUUAGCAAAUUCUGUUUUUCCUCUAGUUUGGAAUAACUGAGCUCCUGUAGAAAGCAACAGCCUUGUUAAUUUGCCCAUUACCAUCUGUGAAGGUGAUGCCAUUCCUUCUCUUGGUAUAUUCUUAAAUCCAGUGCAACUAAAUACAGAUGCUUAUUGUUAUGGUUGGCUGACUUCAAGAGACUUUUCACUGUCUGUCUGAAUAGCUCUCUCAGACAUCCUGUUGCUCUGAGGAUAUUUUGGUGAUAAUCUCAGAUUUUAGUGAAUUCUUGAAAUAAUGUAUUUAACUAUUGGGGUCCAUUAUCAGCGAUCAGAACCUGUAGUAUUUCAUGCCUUGCAAACUGUGAUUUUAGUAUAGGUGAUCUCCAUUCUACUGCUUGUGUUUGUUUGUUAGUUUUGAGAGCUACAUGCAUUUAAAGCAGUAAUCAAAGAACAGUAAACAGAUUUAUUUGUCCAAUUCAAAUUAGUUCAUUUUUUCAGUCUGUGUUUACAUUGUGGCCAAAGUUACCUACCUGUUGGGAAGGAUAUUUGAUACUUGUUUGUCUUCUGAUUACUUAUCUGCAUUUGUGAUUUGCCUCUACAGUAAAAUUUUCAUUUACAUAAUCUUCAUGCCAAUAGAAGUAUAAUAAUUUUCCUUCCACAUACAUGGUCACAAGCUUCAGUUUCAGAUCUUCUUUCCUUUUCUUAAUCUGUUUUAUAACAGAUGGUCAAUAUAUUUCUUCACUCUCUCCCCUCUUACUCCAUCUCUGGACUAGUUAUCUGAGAUAACCGUUUAAGAAAUGGUGCUGUCCAGUGAAGAGGUGGCUGUGUAAUGUGAAAUAAAUGUGACCUAAAUGCUUUCAAGUGGAUUAAAGUAAAUAUCAAUUAUGUGAAAAUGAGAACAGAAAUGUAUAGAGUGACCAUGAUAUAUGUAAUUUUUAAAGAAAUGUUUCCUCUAAAUGUUCCUAAUCUUAAAAAUUAGAGAAACUGG